rnacentral:misc_RNA from 1 species
UUUCCGUAGGUGAACCUGCGGAAGGAUCAUUAUCGAAAUACUUAUUUAGCGUUCCGUGCUAUCCCAUUGUUUUAUUUACCCUGUUGCCUCCACUGGAUGAGUUUCCAUACCUUGUGUUUGAGAAACUUUGGCUUGUGUAAGAUUCAUUCACGGCCUGCCAGUGAGAAGACCAUUUACAAAACCCUGUUAAGAACCAAUUGUCUGAAUAUUUUACUCCAAUGAAAUAAAACUUUCAACAACGGAUCUCUAGGCUCUUGCUUCGAUGAAGAACGCAGC